UACGAAGGGGCUAGCGUUGCUCGGAAUUACUGGGCGUAAAGCGCACGUAGGCGGUCUUUUAAGUCGGGGGUGGAAAUCCUGGAGCUCAACUCCAGAACUGCCUUCGAUACUGGAAGAGCUUGUAGUCCGGGAGAGGGUGAGUGGAACUGCGAAGUGUAGAGGUGAAAUUCGAUAGAUAUCGUCAAGAACACCAGUGGCGAAGGCGGCUCACUGGCCCGGUACUGACGCUGAGGUGCGAAAGCGUGGGGAGCAAACAGG
rnacentral:rRNA from 1 species